rfam:Hanseniaspora uvarum DSM 2768 Contig_7, whole genome shotgun sequence.
UUACAUGAUGUUUAACCUAUAAUAACUUUCGUUCUACUGAAUUUAAUGAUCAAACGAUCUUGUAGAUAAAUUAUAUUACGAUU